rnacentral:rRNA from 1 species
GAACUCUGGUAUUGAUUGGUGCUUGCAUCAUGAUUUACAUUUGAGUGAGUGGCGAACUGGUGAGUAACACGUGGGAAACCUGCCCAGAAGCGGGGGAUAACACCUGGAAACAGAUGCUAAUACCGCAUAACAACUUGGACCGCAUGGUCCGAGCUUGAAAGAUGGCUUCGGCUAUCACUUUUGGAUGGUCCCGCGGCGUAUUAGCUAGAUGGUGGGGUAACGGCUCACCAUGGCAAUGAUACGUAGCCGACCUGAGAGGGUAAUCGGCCACAUUGGGACUGAGACACGGCCCAAACUCCUACGGGAGGCAGCAGUAGGGAAUCUUCCACAAUGGACGAAAGUCUGAUGGAGCAACGCCGCGUGAGUGAAGAAGGGUUUCGGCUCGUAAAACUCUGUUGUUAAAGAAGAACAUAUCUGAGAGUAACUGUUCAGGUAUUGACGGUAUUUAACCAGAAAGCCACGGCUAACUACGUGCCAGCAGCCGCGGUAAUACGUAGGUGGCAAGCGUUGUCCGGAUUUAUUGGGCGUAAAGCGAGCGCAGGCGGUUUUUUAAGUCUGAUGUGAAAGCCUUCGGCUCAACCGAAGAAGUGCAUCGGAAACUGGGAAACUUGAGUGCAGAAGAGGACAGUGGAACUCCAUGUGUAGCGGUGAAAUGCGUAGAUAUAUGGAAGAACACCAGUGGCGAAGGCGGCUGUCUGGUCUGUAACUGACGCUGAGGCUCGAAAGUAUGGGUAGCAAACAGGAUUAGAUACCCUGGUAGUCCAUACCGUAAACGAUGAAUGCUAAGUGUUGGAGGGUUUCCGCCCUUCAGUGCUGCAGCUAACGCAUUAAGCAUUCCGCCUGGGGAGUACGGCCGCAAGGCUGAAACUCAAAGGAAUUGACGGGGGCCCGCACAAGCGGUGGAGCAUGUGGUUUAAUUCGAAGCUACGCGAAGAACCUUACCAGGUCUUGACAUACUAUGCAAAUCUAAGAGAUUAGACGUUCCCUUCGGGGACAUGGAUACAGGUGGUGCAUGGUUGUCGUCAGCUCGUGUCGUGAGAUGUUGGGUUAAGUCCCGCAACGAGCGCAACCCUUAUUAUCAGUUGCCAGCAUUAAGUUGGGCACUCUGGUGAGACUGCCGGUGACAAACCGGAGGAAGGUGGGGAUGACGUCAAAUCAUCAUGCCCCUUAUGACCUGGGCUACACACGUGCUACAAUGGAUGGUACAACGAGUUGCGAACUCGCGAGAGUAAGCUAAUCUCUUAAAGCCAUUCUCAGUUCGGAUUGUAGGCUGCAACUCGCCUACAUGAAGUCGGAAUCGCUAGUAAUCGCGGAUCAGCAUGCCGCGGUGAAUACGUUCCCGGGCCUUGUACACACCGCCCGUCACACCAUGAGAGUUUGUAACACCCAAAGUCGGUGGGGUAACCUUUU